rnacentral:misc_RNA from 1 species
GUAGGUGAACCUGCGGAAGGAUCAUUAUUGAAUGAACAUGGAGUCGGUUGUCGCUGGCCCCUUUACCGGGGCAUGUGCACGCCUUCUCUAUUCAUCCACACACACCUGUGAACUUGUGAGACGGAUAGUAGUCCCCUAGGGGGCGAGGUCCGUCUGCUAAUACAUAAACUCUAAUAAUAUAAAUUCGAAUGUCAUUUGAUGUAACGCAUCUAUAAACUAAGUUUCAACAACGGAUCUCUUGGCUCUC